UUUACUUAAAGAGGUACACAUGAGUUUUGGGUAUCCAGGGAUGGAAUGUUAUAGUUUAGUCAAAGAAUGUCUCCCAAAAGCUUUAUGCACUCAUGCUGGGCCUUCUGGAAAGUGACUGAAUCAGGCUGUGAUAUAGCUGACUUGCUGUUAAGAGUAGCAUUUGCUCAGAAUAGGUGGACAUGGGUGGCAUGGCUUGGAAAGGCAUGUCUCCUUCCCCAGAUACUCCCCCGCUCCUCUCUGUCUCUCUCUGCUUCCUGGCUACUAUGAUUUGAGGAGCUUUCUUUUUCUAUGUCCCCCUGACAUGCCAUAUAUGCUUAGGGGCCAGGCAACCAUGAACUUUAGCUAUGAGCCAAAAGAAAGCUCUUUUUCUUUAAAUUUUAGUGUCAGAUAUUGCAUCUCAAUGAUAAGGAAGUUGACGAAGACACACUCCCAGCACUGUCACAGUGAUUCCACCAAGCCAAUCUAGCUUGUAAGGCAGCUACUCAGAGAGAGUAUAGGGCAAUGCAUUUGGGGUCCCAGUGAUGAGAAGUUUUAGGAGUUUCUGACCCCUGGAGAGGUAAAAAUUCAGACAGUAAUCCCUGCUUAAGAUGACUUCUGGUUAAAGCACCCAAGGGGUUUGCUGAGAAAUGAAUUCUUUUUCUCAAGCCAGGCCUUCUAUCUGUGAAAGUUGUAAGCCCAAAAGAGUUACAAAAUGUCCCAACAAGUAGGACUACAAAUAUCUUUAUGGAGAGUUUGCUGACAUUCUGUCCUUCACCUUCCCUCCUGAGCAAGGUAAACUCCCUCUCCCUGGCUGUGGUGUUGGGGUGGCAGGUGCCAGGAUAUUUUGUUUCUCAAGAUUUCUUUUCUGCUGUUGAAUUCCAGGGUUCUCCUACGGUCACUCGCCUCAAAGUGUUCAUACAACUGUUGUUUUGGUUCUUCUUUGUGCCAGAGCAGAGAAAGCUUCUGACUCGAUGAGCGACAAUAUACUGAAUAGUGAAAACAGAACUCAAUUCUCAUUCUUACUGCAAUCAUUUGAACAUUUCUCCACAAGAACCGCAUGUUGAAAACUUGGUCCUCGACUCAGUGCUACCGACGGAAGACCUAGCAGUCAGGAGGAGCACAUCCCAUGCUUCUUCAUUUAUGAUACAGGAAAAUGGCAACUGCGCCCCUGACAACCAACUGGUGAAGAAGAGAAGUCACGCAGCCCACCUUGGGGAAUGUAGGGCCUUAGUAGGACCCUUUCUCAAAAUAAAAAAAGCAUCAUUUUGCUUCAUUGUUUUCAGCUCAGACAUUUA